rnacentral:rRNA from 1 species
GCCUAACACAUGCAAGUCGAGGGGCAUCGGGAUUGAAGCUUGCUUCAAUUGCCGGCGACCGGCGCACGGGUGCGUAACGCGUAUGUAACCUACCUAUAACAGGGGCAUAACACUGAGAAAUUGGUACUAAUUCCCCAUAAUAUUCGGAGAGGCAUCUCUCCGGGUUGAAAACUCCGGUGGUUAUAGAUGGACAUGCGUUGUAUUAGCUAGUUGGUGAGGUAACGGCUCACCAAGGCAACGAUACAUAGGGGGACUGAGAGGUUAACCCCCCACACUGGUACUGAGACACGGACCAGACUCCUACGGGAGGCAGCAGUGAGGAAUAUUGGUCAAUGGACGCAAGUCUGAACCAGCCAUGCCGCGUGCAGGAAGACGGCUCUAUGAGUUGUAAACUGCUUUUGUACGAGGGUAAACUCACCUACGUGUAGGUGACUGAAAGUAUCGUACGAA